rnacentral:rRNA from 1 species
AGCGUUGUCCGGAAUCAUUGGGCGUAAAGCGCGUGUAGGCGGUUCGGUAAGUCCGCUGUGAAAGUCGGGGGCUCAACCCUCGAAUGCCGGUGGAUACUGUCGGACUAGAGUACGGAAGAGGCGAGUGGAAUUCCUGGUGUAGCGGUGAAAUGCGCAGAUAUCAGGAGGAACACCAAUUGCGAAGGCAGCUCGCUGGGACGUUACUGACGCUGAGCCGCGAAAGCGUGGGGAGCAAACAGG